rnacentral:rRNA from 1 species
UUAAGUCCCGCAACGAGCGCAACCCUCGACCUUAGUUGCCAGCAUUCAGUUGGGCACGUCUAAGGUGACUGCCGGCUAAAAAGUCGGAGGAAGGUGGGGAUGACGUCAAAUCAUCAUGCCCCUUAUGACCUGGGCUACACACGUGCUACAAUGGGCGGUACAAAGGGUCGCGAACCCGCGAGGGGGAGCCAAUCCCAAAAAGCCGCUCUCAGUUCGGAUUGCAGGCUGCAACUCGCCUGCAUGAAGCCGGAAUCGCUAGUAAUCGCGGAUCAGCAUGCCGCGGUGAAUACGUUCCCGGGCCUU